CACAUAGCGGGACCUGGGCGUCUCGACCUAGCCAAAACUUGGUCGAGCGUCCAGGGCUCGCCCCGAGCAUAUCGCCGGGUCACCCUGCCUUUUGAGCACCAUUCGUUUCCUCGGCGGGCUUGCCCGCCACUGGGGACCCCAUCAAAACCUUUUGUAAUGAGAAGUAACAGUAAUAUAAAGAAAUAAUCA
rnacentral:misc_RNA from 1 species